rnacentral:rRNA from 1 species
GACGAACGCUGGCGGCGUGCUUAACACAUGCAAGUCGAACGGUGAAGGGACUGGUUUUGCUGGUCCUGGAUGAGUGGCGAACGGGUGAGUAACACGUGAGUAACCUGCCCCCUUCUUCUGGAUAACCGCAUGAAAGUGUGGCUAAUACGGGAUAUUCUGGGUCUGUCGCAUGGUGGGCCUGGGAAAGAUUGCGCCUUUUUUGGUGUUUUUGGUGGGGGAUGGGCUCGCGGCCUAUCAGCUUGUUGGUGGGGUGAUGGCCUACCAAGGCGGUGACGGGUAGCCGGCCUGAGAGGGUGGACGGUCACACUGGGACUGAGACACGGCCCAGACUCCUACGGGAGGCAGCAGUGGGGAAUAGUGCACAAUGGGCGCAGGCCUGAUGCAGCGACGCCGCGUGAGGGAUGGAGGCCUUCGGUUUGUGAACCUCUUUCGCCAGUGAAGCAGGCCUGCCUCUUUUUGUGGGUGGGUUGACGGUAGCUGGAUAAGAAGCGCCGGCUAACUACGUG